rnacentral:lncRNA from 1 species
GAGGAUGCCAGAAUUCGCUUUUUGCGAUGACGAUUAGCUCCUCUCGAGCUAGGCAGUUGAUUAGUAGAGGCUGCGUAGCCUAUUUGGCUACUGUCGUGUUGCGGGGCGAUGCGGACGCCCCUAGGAUUGAGGAUAUCCCCGUAGUGCGGGAGUUUGGAGAUGUGUUUCCAGCGGAGCUUCCAGGCAUGCCUCCUGACAGGGAGAUUGAGUUUGUGGUAGAUCUCGUUCCCGCGACUAUCCCGAUCUCAAAGGCACCCUAUAGGAUGGCACCAAUAGAAUUGAAGGAGCUGAAGGCACAAUUGCAGGAUCUUCUGGAUAAGGGUUUUGUGCGACCGAGUGUGUCACCUUGGGGAGCACCAGUUUUGUUUGUAAAGAAGAAGGAUGGAUCACUUCGCUUAUGUGUGCACUAUCGUGAACUUAAUAAAGUCACGAUCAAGAACAAGUAUCCAUUGCCAAGGAUUGACGAUCUAUUUGAUCAGCUCCAGGAAUCUUCUGUAUAUUCCAAGAUUGACUUGCAGUUGGGAUAUCACCAGUUGAGGAUCAAACCUGAGGAUGUGUCGAAGACGGCUUUUAGAACACGGUAUGGACACUAUGAGUUUACUGUUAUGCCGUUUGGGCUCACUAAUGCCCCGGCAGCUUUUAUGGAUCUAAUGAACCGUGUUUUCAAGCCUUAUUUAGACAGUUUGUCGUGGUGUUCAUCGACGAUAUUUUGGUCUAUUCCUGAAGUGAUGCGGAUCACGAGGAACACUUGAGACUUGUACUUCAAGUGCUUCGAGAAAAGAAACUCUAUGCUAAGUUGAAAAAGUGUGAAUUUUGGCUUAGAGAGGUGGCGUUUUUGGGCCAUUUGAUUUCUGGAUCAGGCAUAGCCGUGGACCCGAGAAAAAUUGAAGCUAUCAAGGAUUGGCCGAGGCCGACGAGUGUGACCGAGAUACGGAGCUUCAUUUGUUUGGCCGGCUAUUACCCGACGGUUCGUCGAGGGAUUUGCAAAGUUAUCUACUCCCCUCACGAGACUGACGCAUAAGGGCACCAAGUUUAUUUGGAAUGAUGCGUGUGAAAAAAGCUUCCAAGAGUUGAAGCAGCGAUUGACGACCGCCCCGAUCCUAACCUUGCCGACUGCUGGAGAAGGGUAUGUAAUUUAUAGUGAUGCUUCCUUUAAUGGAUUUGGUUGUGUCUUAAUGCAGGACGGGAAAGUGAUCGCGUAUGCAUCUCGCCAAUUGAAGGAUUAUGAAAGGAAUUACCCUACUCACGACUUGGAGUUGGCGACCAUGGUCUUUGCAUUGAAGCUAUGGCGCCACUACUUAUACGGCGAGCGAUGCGAAGUAUAUACGGAUCACAAAAGCUUAAAGUAUCUAUUCACUCAGAAGGAGUUGAACUUGAGGCAGCGCAGAUGGUUGGAGCUACUCAAGGAUUAUGAUUUGACGAUACUUUACCACCCGGGCAAGGCUAACGUGGUGGCGGAUGCGCUAAGUAGGAAAUCGACGGAAAACUUAGCGAUGCUUGUGGUUACUCAACCGCCGUUGAUCGAGCAGAUGAAGCGGUUGGAGUUGGAGGUGGUGGCUCCUGAUACACCUUUGAGACUGAUGACUUUGGUGGUGCAACCUACACUUUUGGAAAGGAUUAAAGAAAAGCAAGCUUCCGACUCGGAGUUGCAAAAGAUUCGAGCUAAGAUGGUUGAUGGUUGCACCGGUGACUUCACUUUAGACGGUGAUGGAUUGAUGCGUUUCCGCGGACGACUUUGUGUACCGGCGGACUUGGGCAUUAAAGAGGAUAUUCUUCAAGAAGCACACCGAGCACCGUAUGCUAUACAUCCGGGAGGCACCAAGAUGUACAAGAAUUUGAAAUUACUUUAUUGGUGGCCCGGGAUGAAAAAGAAUGUUGGUGAAUAUGUUGCAAGAUGCUUAACUUGCUAGCAGGUGAAGGCCGAGCACCGAGUUCCUGCAGGAAAGUUGCAGAGCCUAUCGAUUUCAGUGUGGAAAUGGGAGAAGAUCACUAUGGAUUUCGUGAUGGGAUUGCGGCGCUCACAGGCCGGGCAUGAUGCAAUUUGGGCGAUCGUGGAUUGAUUGACGAAAUCAGCACAUUUCAUACCUAUCCACACUACUUGGACUGGUGAGAGAUUCGCACAGGUUUAUUUGGAUGAGAUUGUGCGACUGCACGGGGUACCUACUUCAAUAGUAUCGGAUCGAGACCCCCUUUUUUUGUCUCACUUUUGGAGGAGCUUACAGGACGCUUUGGGUAGGCGCUUGGAUUUCAGCACUGCUUUCCACCACUAGAGUGACGGGCAGUCGGAGCGUACUAUACAGACUCUCGAGGACAUGCUUCGAGCUUGCGUGAUUGACUUCCAGGGAGGAUGGUCGCAGCAUCUACCAAUGGCAGAGUUUGCUUAUAACAACAGUUAUCAAGCAAGUAUUAAGAUGGCACCAUUUGAGGCAUUUUAUGGUCGGAAGUGUAGAUCGCCUUUUCAUUAAAGCGAAGUUGGCGAAAGAUUGGCUUUAGGCCCUGAUGUGCUUCAGGAAGUAGAGGAUAAGGUUCGCAUUGCUCGGGAGCGAUUGUUGACGGCCCAGAGUAGGCAAAGGAGUUAUGCUGAUCGGCGUCGACGAGACUUGGAGUUUCAGAUUAGAGAUCACGUUUUCUUGAAAGUCUCGCCGACCCGAGGGAUUAGAAGAUUUAGAAUCAGGGGUAAGUUGAGCCCUCGAUACAAUGGACCGUAUGAGGUUUUGGAGCGUGUAGGCCCGGUAGCAUAUAGACUUGCCCUACCGACGAACCUAUCGGGUGUACAUAAUAUAUUCCUUGUAUCGGUCCUUCGGAAGUACAUCCACGAUCCGGCUCAUGUUUUGGACGCUACGCCUUUGGAGCUGAGGGAGGACUUGAGCUUUGAGGAGCAGCCUUUAAGGAUUUUGGCUCGCGAAGUAAAAAGAUUGCGGAAUCGUGAGAUUCUCUACGUGAAGGUGUUUUGGAGCAACCACGACGAGCGCGAGGCCACUUAGGAGUUGGAGAGCGUGCUGCGAGAACGCUAUCCCCAUCUUUUUCAGAUGGAGGCUUGAGGUAUCUUUACUUUUCGAGUUUCGCGGACGAAACUCCUUUUUAGGAGGGGUGAAUGUAAAACACUGGACCUUUGCAAAUUGCGAGGUUCGAGUGGUUGGUUGUGUGCUGAGUAAUUCCAGACUUUCUGGUGGGUCGUUGACAGUGUUCCGACCUGUGGCUCGCAUCCCGAGAAGUGAGGUUUAAAGACUAGCACAAAAAUCCGAAAAAUCGGAUUGUUGGUCAGCUCUCGGGUAGCCUUCAGUAGGGCUUGUACCGGUACAAGGCUGAUGGUUGUACCGGUACAAGGCUGGUGGUUGUUCCGGUAUAGGGGGCUUGUACCGGUACAGAGCCGCAGAACCCGCCAACCCGAGCCUCGGGUUGUGAUUGUCGUGGGGCUUGUACCGGUACAGGGGCCCGUGUACCUGUACAAGGUGGCAGAAUUUGAGUAGUUUGAACUGCAGGGGUGUUUUUGUGAUUGUGGGUCCCUUAUAUCAGCACCCACGCCUCUAGGGCCCCCCUUUGAGCUCUCCACUGCAGGGAGAAAGGUAGGGCACCUCUCCCCUUCACCCCAUUUGGAUUUGAUCUCUUUCUAGCUUGGGAUUUAAGUGUUGAUCCUUCUCUUUUCCCUUUUCUUUGCUUUUCCACCAUUUUGAUGCUUGGAGCUUGGUCUUGAUGGAUUGUUGAGGGAAGAUCUUGGGAUUUCAAGAGUUUAGAGCUUUGAUUGAAGCUUUUAAGAGGUAAUCCACUUAUUCUCUCCCUCUAGAUUGGAUUUUAUUGAUGGUUUUGAGAUGAAACCCUAGAAUGAGAUUUUAGGGCUUAUUUUGGGCGUUUUGAUUCUAGGGCUUUUGGGGCUAAAUUAUUUGGAUUAGAGCACUCCUUUGGGUCGGGUUGGAAUGAUCUUAGCCUUCUUUUGGAGCUUGUGAGAGUUUUUCUCCACCCUAGGUGAGAUUUUAGCCCUUUUGCCUUAUUGGUUAAUGUUUGAUCUUAUAGAUGAUCGUAAUGCCCGUGUAUCUCUUCGCUCAAUACUUUUAGGGUGAUUUGAGACUCGUGGACAACUUCGUUCGGCGAGACGAGGCACUACACGACGGUUCGGUGGGUUUGACCUAGCCACACAAUGAGAAAUUCUCAUUUGUGAUGAAUUAAGUAUCGUUAAUUGAAAAAGCAUGCAUAUUCUUGUUAUAUGCAUUUAUUGUGAAUUUUAGAAUGCUUAAAAUGCCUAUGUUACAUAUGAUGAAAUUUUUAGUGUGGAUUUGAGUUUGUGUAUGGAUCUCGUCCCGGGACACCCGAUCUCAAAAGACCCUAUAGGAUGGCACCAGCAGAAUUGAAGGAGCUGAAGGCACAGUUGCAGGAUCUUCUCGAUAAAGGUUUUGUGCGCGAGUGUUGUCACCAUGGGGAGCACCAGUUUUGUUUGUAAAGAAGAAUGAUGGAUCACUUCGCUUAUGUGUGGACUAUCGUGAACUUAAUAAAGUCACGAUCAAGAACAAGUAUCCAUUGCGAGAAUCGACGAUCUAUUUGAUCAGCUACAGGAUCUUGUAAUAUAUUCCAAGAUUGACUUGCAGUCGGGAUAUCACCAGUUGAGGAUCAGACCUGAGAUGUGUCGAAGACGGCUUUAGAACAUGUAUGGACACUAUGAGUUUACUGUUAUGCCGUUUGGCUCACUAAUGCCGCUUAGAGAGGUGGCGUUUUGGGCCAUUUGAUUUCUGGAUCAGGAAUAGCCGUGGCCCGAGAAAAAUGAAGCUAUCAGGAUUGGCCGAGGCGACGAGUGACCGAGAUACGGAGCUUCAUUGGUUUGCCGGCUAUUACCGACGGUUCGUCGAGAGAUUUGCAAAGUUAUCUACUCCUCACGAGACUGACGCAUAAGGGCACCAAGUUUAUUUUGGAAUUGAUGCGUGUUGAAAGAGCUUCCAAGAGUGAAGCAGCGAUUGUCGACCGCCCCGAUCCUAACCUUUCGACUGCUGGAGCAGGUAUGUGAUUUAUAGUGAUGCUUCCUUUAAUGGAUUGGGCUGUCUUAUGCAGACCGGAAAGUGAUCGCGUAUGCAUCUCGCCAAUUGAAGGAUUAUGAAAGGAAUUACCCUACUCACGACUUGGAGUUGGCGGCCGUGGUCUUUGCAUUGAAGCAUAUGGCGCCACUACUUAUAUGGCGAGCGAGCGAAGUAUAUCGGAUCACAAAAGCUUAAAGUAUCUAUUCAUUCAGAAGGGGUUGAACUUGUGGCAGCGCAGAUGGUUGGAGCCUACUCAAGGAUUAUAUUGACUGAUACUACCACCCGGGCAAGGCUAACGUGAUGGCUGAUGCGCUAAGUAGCGAAAUUGACGAAAAACUUAGCGAUGCUGUGUAUACUCAACCGCCGUUGAUCAAGCAGAUGAAACGGUUGGAGUUGGAGGUGGUGGCCCUGAUACACCUUUGAGACUGAUGACUUUGGGUGCAACCUACACUUUUGGAAAAGAUUAAAGAAAAACAACUUCCGACUCGGAGUUGCAAAAGAUUCGAGCUAAGAAUGGUUGAUGGUUGCACCGCGUGUACUUCACUUAGACUGUGUAUGGAUUGAUGCGUUUCCGCGACGACUUUGGUGUCCGGCGCGACGUUCGGGCAUUNNNNNNNNNNNNNNNNNNNNNNNNNUUGUUUGAUACCGGUGCAUCGCAUUCAUUCAUUGAUCGGCUGUUUGCCGAGCUGCAUGGCAUCCCACUUGUAUCCUUGUUGCACCCGGGACGAGUUGUUGUACCCGAUCAUUCCUUGGACAUUCGGGAGUUUUGCCCCAGCUGCCCUAUUCGGGUUGGAGAUUGGAUCAUGCCCAUAGACAUGCUAGCCUUGCAUAAACUCGGGGAGUUUGAGGUUGUGUUGGGCAUGGAUUGGUUGACUAAGUAUUUCGCCACUAUCGAUUGUAAAGAUCGAACGGUGACUUUUAGAGAGCCAGGGCAGGCGGAGGUUGUGUACCGAGGAUGCCAGAGUUCGCUGUUUGCGAUGACGAUUAGCUCCUCUCGAGCUAGGCAGUUGAUUAGUAGAGGCUGCGUAGCCUAUUUGGCUAGUGUCGUGUUGCGGGGCGAUGCGGACGCCCCUAGGAUUGAGGAUAUCCCCGUAGUGCGGGAGUUUGGAGAUGUGUUUCCAGCGGAGCUUCCAGGCAUGCCUCCUGACAGGGAGAUUGAGUUUGUGGUAGAUCUCGUUCCCGCGACUAUCCCGAUCUCAAAGGCACCCUAUAGGAUGGCACCAAUAGAAUUGAAGGAGCUGAAGGCACAAUUGCAGGAUCUUCUGGAUAAGGGUUUUGUGCGACCGAGUGUGUCACCUUGGGGAGCACCAGUUUUGUUUGUAAAGAAGAAGGAUGGAUCACUUCGCUUAUGUGUGCACUAUCGUGAACUUAAUAAAGUCACGAUCAAGAACAAGUAUCCAUUGCCAAGGAUUGACGAUCUAUUUGAUCAGCUCCAGGAAUCUUCUGUAUAUUCCAAGAUUGACUUGCAGUUGGGAUAUCACCAGUUGAGGAUCAAACCUGAGGAUGUGUCGAAGACGGCUUUUAGAACACGGUAUGGACACUAUGAGUUUACUGUUAUGCCGUUUGGGCUCACUAAUGCCCCGGCAGCUUUUAUGGAUCUAAUGAACCGUGUUUUCAAGCCUUAUUUAGACAGUUUGUCGUGGUGUUCAUCGACGAUAUUUUGGUCUAUUCCUGAAGUGAUGCGGAUCACGAGGAACACUUGAGACUUGUACUUCAAGUGCUUCGAGAAAAGAAACUCUAUGCUAAGUUGAAAAAGUGUGAAUUUUGGCUUAGAGAGGUGGCGUUUUUGGGCCAUUUGAUUUCUGGAUCAGGCAUAGCCGUGGACCCGAGAAAAAUUGAAGCUAUCAAGGAUUGGCCGAGGCCGACGAGUGUGACCGAGAUACGGAGCUUCAUUUGUUUGGCCGGCUAUUACCCGACGGUUCGUCGAGGGAUUUGCAAAGUUAUCUACUCCCCUCACGAGACUGACGCAUAAGGGCACCAAGUUUAUUUGGAAUGAUGCGUGUGAAAAAAGCUUCCAAGAGUUGAAGCAGCGAUUGACGACCGCCCCGAUCCUAACCUUGCCGACUGCUGGAGAAGGGUAUGUAAUUUAUAGUGAUGCUUCCUUUAAUGGAUUUGGUUGUGUCUUAAUGCAGGACGGGAAAGUGAUCGCGUAUGCAUCUCGCCAAUUGAAGGAUUAUGAAAGGAAUUACCCUACUCACGACUUGGAGUUGGCGACCAUGGUCUUUGCAUUGAAGCUAUGGCGCCACUACUUAUACGGCGAGCGAUGCGAAGUAUAUACGGAUCACAAAAGCUUAAAGUAUCUAUUCAUUCAGAAGGAGUUGAACUUGAGGCAGCGCAGAUGGUUGGAGCGACUCAAGGAUUAUGAUUUGACGAUACUUUACCUCCCGGGCAAGGCUAACGUGGUGGCUGAUGCGCUAAGUAGGAAAUCGACGGAAAACUUAGCGAUGCUUGUGGUUACUCAACCGCCGUUGAUCGAGCAGAUGAAGUGGUUGGAGUUGGAGGUGGUGGCUCCUGAUACACCUUUGAGACUGAUGACUUUGGUGGUGCAACUUACACUUUUGGAAAAGAUUAAAGAAAAGCAAGCUUCCGACUCGGAGUUGCAAAAGAUUCGAGCUAAGAUGGUUGAUGGUUGCACCGGUGACUUCACUUUAGACGGUGAUGGAUUGAUGCGUUUUCGCGGACGACUUUGUGUACCGGCGGACUUGGGCAUUAAAGAGGAUAUUCUUCAAGAAGCACACCGAGCACCGUAUGCUAUACAUCCGGGAGGCACCAAGAUGUACAAGAAUUUGAAAUUACUUUAUUGGUGGCCCGGGAUGAAAAAGAAUGUUGGUGAAUUUGUUGCCAGAUGCUUAACUUGCCAGCAGGUGAAGGCCGAGAACCGAGUUCCUGCGGGAAAGUUGCAGAGCCUAUCGAUUUCAGUGUGGAAAUAGGAGAAGAUCACCAUGGAUUUCGUGAUCGGAUUGCCGCGCUCACAGGCCGGGCAUGAUGCAAUUUGGGCGAUCGUGGAUAGAAUGACGAAAUCAGCACAUUUCAUACCUAUCCACACUACUUGGAUUGGUGAGAGAUUCGCACAGGUUUAUUUGGAUGAGAUUGUGCGACUGCACGGGGUACCUACUUCUAUAGUAUCGGAUCGAGACCCCCGUUUUUUGUCCCACUUUUGGAGGAGCUUACAAGACGCUUUGGGUAGGCGCUUGGAUUUCAGCACUGCUUUCCACCCCUAGAGUGACGGGCAGUUUGAGCGUACUAUACAGACUCUCGAGGACAUGCUUCGAGCUUGCGUGCUUGACUUCCAGGGAGGAUGGUCGCAGCAUCUACCAAUGGCAGAGUUUGCUUAUAACAGCAGUUAUCAAGCAAGUAUCAAGAUGGCACCAUUCGAGGCACUUUAUGGUCGGAAAUGUAGAUCGCCUCUUCAUUGGAGCGAAGUUGGCGAAAGAUUGGCUUUAGGCCCUGAUGUGCUUCAGGAAGCAGAGGACAAGGUUCGCAUUGCUUGGGAGCGAUUGUUGACGGCCCAGAGUAGGCAGAGGAGUUAUGCUGAUCGGCGUCGACGAGACUUGGAGUUUCAGAUUGGAGAUCACGUCUUCUUGAAAGUCUCGCCGACCCGAGGGAUUAGAAGAUUUAAAAUCCGGGAUAAGUUGAGCCCCCGAUACAUUGGACCGUAUGAGGUUUUGGAGCGUGUAGGCCCGGUAGCAUAUAGACUUGCCCUACCGCCGAACCUAUCGGGUGUACACAAUGUAUUCCAUGUAUCGGUCCUUCGGAAGUACAUCCACGACCCGGCUCAUGUUUUGGACGCUACGCCUUUGGAGCUGAGGGAGGACUUGAGCUUUGAGGAGCAACCUUUAAGGAUUUUGGCUCGCGAAGUAAAAAGAUUGCGGAACCGUGAGAUUCCCUACGUGAAGAUACUUUGGAGCAACCACGACGAGCGCGAGGCCACUUGGGAGUUGGAGAGCGUGCUGCGAGAGCGCUAUCCCCAUCUUUUUCAGAUGGAGGCUUGAGGUAUCUUUACUUUUCGAGUUACGCGGACGAAACUCCUUUUUAGGAGGGGUGAAUGUAACACACUGGACCUUUGCAAAUUGCGAGGUCCGAGUGGUUGGUUGUGUGUUGAGUAAUUCCAGACUUUCUGGUGGGUCGUUGACAGUGUUCCGACCUAUGGCUCGCAUCCCGAGAAGUGAGGUUUAAAGCCUAGCACAAAAAUUCGAAAAAUGAAUUUUUGGUCAGCUCUCGGGUAGCCUUCAGUAGGGCUUGUACCGGUACAAGGCUGAUGGUUGUACCGGUACAAGGCUGGUGGUUGUACCGGUAUAGGGGGCUUGUACAGGUACAGAGCCGCAGAACCCGCCAACCAGAGCCUCGGGUUGUGAUUUUCGUGGGGCUUGUACCUGUACAGGGGCCCGUGUACCAGUACAAGGUGGCAGAAUUUGAGUAGUUUGAACUGCAGGGGUGUUUUUGCGAUUGUGGGUCCCUUAUAUCAGCACCCACGCCUCUAGGGCCCUCCUUUGAGCUCUCCACUGCAGGGAGAAAGGUAGGGUACCUCUCCCAUUCACCCCCUUUGGAUUUGAUCUCUUUUUAGCUUGGGAUUUAAGUGUUGAUCCUUCUCUUUUCCCUUUUCUUUGCUUUACCACCAUUGUGAAGCUUGGAGCUUGGAGCUUGGUCUUGGUGGAUUGUUGAGGGAAGAUCUUGGAAUUUCAAGAGUUUAGAGCUUUGAUUGAAGCUUUUAAGAGGUAAUCCACUUAUUCUUUCCCUCUAAAUUGGAUUUUAUUGAUGGUUUUGAGAUGAAACCCUAGAAUGAGGUUUUAGGGCUUAUUUUGGGCGUUUUGAUUCUAGGGCUUUUGGGGCUAAAUUAUUUGGAUUAGAGCACUCCUUUGGGUCGGGUUGGAAGGAUCUUAGCCUUCUUUUGGAGCUUGUGAGAGUUUUUCUCCACCCUAGGUAAGAUUUUAGCCCUUUUGCCCUGUUGGUUAAUGUUUGAUCUUAUAGUUGAUCGUAAUGCCCGUGUAUCUCUUCGCUCAAUACUUUUAGGAUGAUUUGAGACUCGUGGACAACUUCGUUCGGUGAGACGAGGCACUACGCGACGGUUCGGUGGGUUUGACCUAGCCACACAAUGAGAAAUUCUUAUUUGUGAUGAAUUAAGUAUCGUUAAUUGAAAACGCAUGCAUAUUCUUAUUAUAUGUAUUUAUUGUGAAUUUUAGAAUGCUUAAAAUGCCUAUGUUACAUAUGAUGAAAUUUUUGACCUCUAUGUAGUAGAGAGUUGCUUGGGAGAUCUAUGGUUGCAUUUAGCAUUCUAUAUGAGACUUGUUUUCAUGCUUCUAUAGUGUAAAUGAGCUUGGAUUCAUCCAUUUAAACCUAUGUUUAUUUGAGACAUGAAAGAUGACAAAAUUGCCAUAUAGAGGUAUCGAACUAGAAUGCAUGUGAAUUGGUGAGCUAAUGUCAUUAAGUGGUAUUGAGCUCGGAUUAUGUGUGAACCUAGUGGUUAAAGCCAUUGCGGGAUUUGGUUAAUGUUGAACAUUAAAUUGCCUAAGUGUCAUCAACGGGCACUAGGCAUAGUGAGUGUUUGGAACUUCGCUUUGUGACUUAACUAGAUCUUCGGGAUGCCAGUGACGAUACCAUGUUAGAGACAUGAGGUUUGGAUACUUGAGACUUGGACUAUGCUUGCUUGCCAUUUGUGCUCAUUCGCACAUGCUUGUGAGGGUCGCUCCCUACAAGCCGGCACUCCGGAGUUAGCCUACGCGACAUAUGUUCGCUCGUGCGGUAUUGAGAAGCCUACGGGGUCGAGUGGGACAGACACAUUCCAAGAGUAGGAAUGUUGUGCUACCAAGGCACUUAGGCGGCACAAGCUCGACUACCUUUGGUAGGUCUUUAAUUGGAAAUAAAAAUCGACACGGUGUUGAGUUUCUUAUAAUCACUACUAGAUAGAGAAUAGUAGUUGGAUUACUUGGACUUGCUUCUAGCAUAGUUUUGGGUACUUGGAUAUACAUACAUACAUGUAGCAUGCUAGGAGAUGUUGCCUAUCGCAUUCAUAUAUACAUUGUUGCCAUGAUAAAGCAUGAUCUUCAUAAUUUCAUAAAGAAAAUAAUGAUUAUUACUUGUGGUCAUGUCAGGACGUACUUGUUCAUAAUGAAAUAGGUGUACAUCAUAGUGGUGCAUUGAGCUGAGGUCAGUAAUUGCCCACUGGGAACUAUAAAUUAUAGUUCUCACGCCCUCUGUUUUAUAUUUUCUUUCAGAGCCUUCCACGCUGGGAGAGGCUAGGGACCGAGAGAAGGGAGUUGCUUCGAGCUAGCUUCCUUCGAGGGCGAUUUGAUAGGUGGUCUACCUCUCGUGGUUUUAUUUUGUGAGAGGUUGUGAGUUGUACCCAUAUAUGUAUAGAGACCACCCUUCUUUUGGAUCUUUGUAUUCCUUUUGAGGAGAUAGCAUUGUAUCACUUUGUGCCUUACUUUCAUUGUCUAGUUAUGUUUCUUUUACUCUGGUUUAGAUGAUAGAACUUUACUCGCUCUGAUAUCAUUAGUUGUUAUUAUUCUAUUUGUUCUAUUUCUUACUUUUACUUCCGCUUUUAUUGUAGACGCCUUAUAUAUGUAGACAUAUGGCGGGUCUGGGCACGCUACCGGGAGGGCCUCCGCCGGUCCCGCGGUGUGACAGUAAUUGCCCACUGGGAACUAUAAAUUAUAGUUCUCAUGCCCCCUGUUUUAUAUUUUCUUUCAGAGCCUUCCACUCCGGAAGAGGCUCGGGAUCGCGGGACAGGUUUCGUCUCGAGUUAGCUUUCGAGGGACUUGGCGAUAGGUGGUCCACCUCUCUUUUAUUUUCUUUUGGAGAGGUUGUGAGAGUUUUGUACUUGGUUAUAGAGACCACCCUUUUUUUGUAUCUUGAGAUUUAUGAUGUAUUAAUUUACUUUAUGUUUUAGUGGUUCAGUUCUCUUUUUGACUUUACUUGUCGAUAGAACCUAGUUGUGUAUUUGCUCUGAUAUCUCUAGAUACUUUCAACUUCUUGUUCAUUUUUUCGUUUGGUUCUAGACGCCUUAUAUGUGCAGGCAUAUGACGGGUCUGGGCACGCACCGGGCGGGCCUACGCCGGGUCCCGGGGCGUGACAGAUUAAUUUGGUAUCAGAGCCUAGGGUUGAGUCUUAGUAGACCUAGUGAACCUUAGGCCGGUCGGACAAUAGGAAUUAGACUCGUGAGAGACGGGGUCUAUUUGAUUUGUAAGUGAAAGUAUCAUGAUUGGGUUUCUUUGAUAGCUCCAAAAAGUUGGAGUUCGAUUGAAAUGUAUGAACUUCGCGGAGGGUUACGUUUACGGCCGACAACGUAACAUCGGGAGUUACUAGUAUAAGACACUUCCUUACUUUUGCAUGAUUUGGGCAUUGGUAUGUGACGCCCCAACUUCCCAGGGGGUCACCCAUCCUAGGACUACUCCCGUCCUAGCACGCUUAACUCUCUUAACCUUUUGGACUGUCACGCCCCGGGGCCCAGCGGAAGCCCGCCCGGCGCGUGUCCAGACCCGCCGUACGUCUAAAACAUACAAGGUGUAAAAAAAAUAAAGCGGUAACUAAACCAAUAAAAGAAAGCAUCAAGGAGUAUCAGAGCAAAGUACUACAAAGUGCUAUAACAAGGAGAAGAACAUGAAGCUGAAAAUCCACUAAGUAAAACAUAAGGUAAUACAAAAGGAGUCCCAUAACAAGUACUAGUCUGAAAACAAGGUGGUCUCUCUAUACAUGGUGCAAAAUCUCUCAUUGUCUCUACACAAACAAAAAAGGAGUAACCUCCUAAAGCAGAACGGACUCUCUCUCUGAGCUAACUAUGCGACACCCUUGCCACGAUCCCGUGCCUCCACUGGUACCGAAGGCUCUGAAAAGGAAAUAUAGAAACAGGGGUGUGAGAACUAUUAAAUAAUAGUUCCCAGUGGGCAAUUACUGACUUCAGUGAAUGUGCCACUAGGCCCAAAAGGCUACAACAAAAGGGUCAGUGUAUAAGCAUAAGCAAAAGCGAUAAAUACAACGGUUAAGUAAAGAUGAUUAUUGCUCAACCAUGAUGUCUCUACUUAGCAUGAUAUGCAUAAGUACUAAAACGACUACCACAGGUAUGUAUAUGAGAGUAACAAUAUGUAAAUGCAUGAGUAUGUAACUAUCCCAAUAUCCGCAAUGUAAAUAGCAAUAAUGUCAAUGUUCACUAUUCUAGUCAAUGUCCACUUGUCACUUUACUGAGUAAAGUUCAACUCUGAUAAGACCCACCCGAAGGCUGUCUGGCAUAAGACCCACCCGAAGGCUGUCUGGCAUAAGACCCACCCGAAGGCUGUCUGGCUUUACCGUGCCUAAUGGCCCCGUGGUAGUCACAUCCCCACCCUAGGAAUAAGCCUUUCCCAUGGCAAUCCACUUCGGCGCCCAAUCCCGCACGGCGAACGUAUCGCGAUGGCCAACUCCGGAGUGCCGGCUUGUAGGGAGCGACCCUCAUAAGCAUGUACGAAUGAGCACAAUGGCAAGCAUGCGUAUAAGUCUGUCUGAAGUACCAAGUCCUCAUGUCUAAAACAUGGAAUAUAUCGAAUGCCACAAAGGCCUAUCACUAUGUUGUCGUGUCUCUAACAUGGAAUAUAGUCGAUGUCCAAUGGCCUAUCACUAUAUCUCUAUGUUGCAUUUUCAUAGUUUACUAGUUCCAAGUGCCCCUUUAUGACACUAUUGUUCAAUGAGUCCAAGCAUGGUAUUUAUGUGCAUGAAUUCAUAAUUCUACUCAUUUCAAACAUAGGAGACAUGUUCUCAACUUGCAAGGCUAACCACCUUUCACAAUGCAUGCAGUCUACACAUAUAGCUCUAAUAUAUAGAGUGCAAAUUUCAUGAUACAUAAGGCAUGCAUUUUAAGUGUUCUAAAAUUCACAUAAAUUAUGUUUAACAUGGAUUUGCUCUCAAAAAGACUUUACGAAGAGUUUAGAAAGUAUAGGGGCCAUUUUGCCCCGUUUUCAUGAAGUCAAACCCACCACAACACUCGCGAUCCUUCGUAAGCUCCGACGAAGGUGUUCACUAGUCUCCUAUCACCCUAAAGAUGUAGGAACAAAGGUCAAGUGGACCAUACGAACAAUACAAGGCUCAAUCAAAAGUAACCUAGGCUAAGGUGGAGGAAACUCACCUCAAGGGAAGAAAUCCUCACUCAAACUCCAAAUGGGGGCAAGAACCCUUCCAAUUCAACCUAAAGGAAGGUUCUAAACCAAUCAAUAAGGUCCCAAAGCUCUCAAAUCAAAAAGCCCCAAAACUAACCUUAGAAUCCCAAUCUAGGGUUUCAUCUAGCAAAAAGCUUCAAAACUAGAAUCUAGAGGAGAAGAACUAGUCACAUACCUCUAGGAAGCUCCAAAUCAAGUCCAAGAUACUCAAGGGUUGAAGAUUGGUCCACCACCAAGCUUCAAAAGCAAGCUCCAAGUCCCCCAAAGGUGAGAAAUGAGGAAGAAGGUGAUGCUCCAAGGCCUCCAAGCAAGAUUCUCUCCUUCUUCUUCUUCUUCCUCUCCUUCUCCCUCUCUUCUUCUCUCUCUAGAAUGGGUGUGAAGGGGAGAAAUGAGGAGGGAAGAGAGUGAAAGGGCCAUAUAGACCAUCUAGUGCAACAAAAUCCAGAAAAGCCCCUCAAAAACUCAUUCACAUCAGCCCGGUCUGGGAAGUUUUCGCCCAGAGGGACCGGUCUCCCUGACUUGGGACCGGUCUCUCAGCCUGCCCCAAAAAUCCAACGUUCGGGAACCGGUCUCUCCCUGCACGGGACCGGUCUCUCCCCGCGUAUACGCACUCAGGGACUGGUAUCGCCUGCUAGGGACCGGUUGCCUCGCCAGCUGCCGCAACACUAAGCUGAGGGGACCGGUCUCUCAUAUCAGGGACCGGUCCUCGAGAGUGAAAACUCUCAGGACUUGCCAAAAUUUUAGAGAUCGAACUUUUAAGCCGGAAUACCAUCUACGGCCUUUCACCAAGUGUGGAAAAAUUUGGAGUAUACAUCAAACACUCGAACCUCGCAAUUUGUAAAGGUCCAGUGUGCUACAUGGAUCUUGCUACCACCCAAAAUGCUUAAGCCGGGUUAAGAGUUUAGCCCUAUUAUAUCUCAUAUAUAGGACUAUCUGGGGUCUCAUAAUCUUCCCUCCUUUAAGCCCUGACGUCCUCGUCAGGCUCAGACUCACAAGUACCAGGCGAUGUGAGACUCAUCUCGCUAGCCCGUCAUCUAGACCCUGGAUCAGCCGAGACUCAUCUCACACUUCCGGCUGGUAAUUGGCUCUGAUACCAUCUUGUUGUUUUCUUUUAUUGUUUCAUUUAUCGUUUUAUUUUAGACGCCUUAUAUGUUUUAGACGUAUGGCGGGUCUGGAUACGCGCCGGGCGGGCUUCCGCUGGGACCCGGGGCGUGACACGCCGCCUCCUCAGUCUAGGCCACAUACAUGCGCCCACUUAGGGCCUGUCGUGACCCCUCCGCCUGUCGCUGAACUAGCGACCGCCUAGCCUGGUGAUGCGCAGAAAGUGUCCCCUGGCUGGGACCCGGUAAAGCUGGUGUAGAUGCCAAAGAUAGCGCUGGUGCUGGACCCCUCGGGCAGUCCAACUGGAAGUGGCCCUCCUGGCCACACAAGUAGAACCUGCCCCGACUGCGUGAACACUGCCGUGGAAAAUGGGGACCACCGCAGAUCACGUAGCGCGGAGCCUGGCAUCGAUAAGGUCCUCCUCGCUGAGUAGACUGGCCACGUCCUCGCGAUUGGCUCCGGUGUCUCGGAUGUCUCGGCGGCCUCCCAGAGUGUGCCUAACUCGCACCCUUAGCCGCAGGCCUCUUGCCCUUGCCCUUGUCAAGGGCCUCUCGCCGCUCCUGCAGAUCUGCCGCGCUGCUCUCCACAAUGAGCGCACGGUUCACAACCUCUCGGUAGGUUUGGAGGUUGGAAGACUGAACAAACCGAAAGAUCGAAGGCCGCAGUCCCCGCUCGAAGAUGCGAGCCUUGUCCUCGUCAUCCCGGACAACAAAGGGCACACAAUGAAGAAGCCGGGAGAACUCUCUCUCAUACUCGGCUACCGUUCUGUCUCCCUGACGUAGAUUGCGCAAAUCCUGCUCCAUCUUCCUCUUCACACAGUCAGGAAAGUAAUGCUCCAGUAGGAGUUCCUUGAACCUCCUCCAUGAAAUCGCCGUCAGAUCCGUGCCGGGUUGACCUGGAUGUCCAACCACCAUCUGUAGGCCUCGCUGUCCAAGUGAUGUGUGGCGAGCCACACUCGAUCCCUCUCCUCGACAAAGGUGUCCCGAAACAGCUUCUCCAUAAGCAUAAGCCAUUUCUCUACUAUCCAAUGGUCCACGUUUUUCCCGACGAAGGUCCAUGGACUGCAUCUCCUGAACUCACUAAGACGCUCUAUAAGUCGAUCACGCUCUGCUCCCUCAACCAUCACGGGGAAAACUGCCCCCGCUACAGGCACCCGAGCCGGUGGUGCCGCAACGUCUCCUCCCGAGGUGCCGCCGCCAGUGCCGUCCGAGAGGUGUCGAGUGCAGGGGAUGUAACACAUUGGACCUGUGCAAAUUGCGAGGUUCGAGUGUUUGAUAUGGAUUCCGAACUUUUUCAUACUUUGUGGAAGGUCGUAGAUGGUAUUCCGACCUAAAAGUUCGAUUUCUGGAGUUUUGGCAAUGUCCUGAGAGUUUUCACACUCGGGGACCGGUCCCUGAUAGGAGAGAUCGGUCCCCUCAGAACAGUGUUGCGGCAGCCUGCGAGGCAACCGGUUCCUGGCGGAUGAGAUCCGUCCCCGAGCGCGAACACGCGGGGAGAGACCGUUCCCAUGCGGGGAGAGAUUGGUUCCCGAACGUUGAAUUUUCGGGGCAGGCUGAGAGAUCGGUCCCAGGUCGGGGAGACCGGUCCCUAAGUCCGAAAACUGUCCAGACCGAGCAGUGCACAGUGUUGAUUGUUGAGGGAAACUAAGUGAAUUUUGUUACUUGGGAUGGCUUAUAUGGUCCUUUCUCUUCCUUUCACUCUCAUUUCUCUCCCUCACACUCACACUAGAGAGAGAAAGAGAAGGAGAAGAAGAAGCAGAGGGGAAGAGCUUGCUUGAAGGCCUUAGAGCAUCAUCUUCUUCCUCUCAUCACACCUUGGAGGCUUUGAGCUCGUGGUUGAAGCUUUGUGGAGGAUCAAAUUUCAACCCUUCUUGGUUUAGAGCUUGGUUUGGAGCUUCUCUUGAGGUUGGUAACUUGUCUUCCCCAUUUAAUACAAGUUUUCUAGAUUUUGCUAGAUGAAACCCUAGUUUUGAGAUUUAGGGUUUAUUUUGGGGGUUUUUGAUUUGAGGGCUUUGAAACCUAAUUGAUGGGUUUAGAACCUUUAUUUAGGUUGGAUUUGAAGAACUCUAACUCCCAUUUGAAGCUUGAGAGAGAAUUUCUUCACUUGAGGUGAGUUUCUCCACUUUAGCUUGAGGUGGUUAAUGAUUGAGCUUAGUGUUGUUCGUAAGGUUCAUUUAACCUUUGUUCCUAUAUCUUUAGGGUGCUAGGGGACUAGCGGACACCAUUGUCGGAGCAAACGAAGGAUCGCUAGAGUUGUGGUGGGUUUGGCUUCAUGAAAACGGGGCAAAGUGGCCCCUUUCUAUACUUGUCGUAACGUCCUUUGGAAUGCAAAUCCAUGCUUGAUAGGAUUUAUGGGAAUUUUAGAACACUUAAAAUGCAUGUCUUAUAUAUUAUGAAAAUUUCACUCUAUAUAGUAGGGCAUUCUGAGCAUUUUUGCAUGCAUAUGAGAAGUGUUCGUGUUAGCGACUUGAAAACAUGUCUCUUAUUUUAGAAUUUGCUCAAAUUAUGCAUUUGUAAACAAUAAACUCAUGUUUGGACUUAGUGGACAAAAAUGCCAUAAAGAGGCACUUGACAUAGUAAACUGUAAAACUGCAACAUAGAGACAUAGUGAUAGGCUAUUGAACAUCUGCUAUAUUCUAUGUUAGAGACAUGAUGACAUAGAGAUAGGCUUUUGAGACAUUCGACGUAUAUUCCAUGUUUUUAGACAUGAGGACUUGGUACUUGAGACAGAUCUUUCGCUUGUUUGUCAUUGUGCUCAUUCGCACAUACUUGUGAGGGUCGCUCCCUACAAGCCGGCACUCCGGAGAUAGCCAUCGCGACAUAUGCUCGCUCGUGCGGGAUUGGGCGCCGAAAUGGGAUGCCCUGGGGGAGGCUCAUUCGUAGAGUGGGGAUGUUGACUACCACGGGGCCAUUAGGCACGGCGCAGGCCGGACUACCCACGGGUAGGUCCUACAGGAUUGGAUCAUUGAUGACUUAGCAUACCGACUGGACAUUGACUAGAAUAGUAAACAAGACAUUUUACUAUUUAGCUUGUGGACAUCAUGCUAGUGAUACUUUGGUAUAUUCAUGUUAGAAUAGUCUUUUAUUACUUAUGCAAAUUCAUGCUAAGUGGAGAUAUCAUGUUGUAGUAAGUUUACAUGUUUACUUACAUAUCGAUUCUAUUGCUUUUAUUGUUACUUAUCUGUUUAGCUCUUUUGGGCCUAGUGGUGCUUUCACUGAAGUCAGUAAUUGCCCACUGGAAACUAUUAUUUAAUAGUUCUCACGCCUCCUGUUUUAUGGUUUUUCUUUUAGAGCCCUCUGUACCGGCGGAGGUACAGGAUCGCGGCAAGGGGAUCGCUGGCUAGAUAGCGAGGAUUUACUGUUGCUUAGGUGGUUUUCUCUCUUUUUGUUGUUGUUGAGAGAGAGAGAGAGUAAUGUUUUGUAUCCAUGUAUAGAGACCACCUAUGUAUUUACUUAUAGCACUUGUUUUGGGAUUUCUAUUCUACUACCUUCGAUUUACUUAUGGUGGAUGUUAGCUCAUUUACUUGUUUCCUCUUAUAGAAUCUCGAUACUGUACUAUGCUCUGAUACUCCUAGAUGUCUUUUAUUAUUGCUUUAUUUACCGUUGUUUCUAGACGCCUUAUAUGUUUUAGACGUAUGGCGGGUCUGGAUACGUGCCGGGCGGGCUUCCGCUGGGUCCCGGGGCGUGACAGAUUAGUUUGGUAUAAGAGCCUAGGGUUGAGUCUUAGUGGACCUAGCAAACCUUAGGCCGGUUGGACUAUAGGAAGUAGGCUCGUGAGAGACGAGGUCUAUUUGACUUGUGAGCGAAAGCAUCAUGAUUGGGUACCUCGAUAACUCUAAAAAGUUAGAGUUAAAUCGAAGUGUAUGGCUCCUAACUUCGCGGAGGGUUACGUUGGCGGCCGACAACGUAAUAUCGGGAGUUAGUAGUGAAGAACACUUCCUUACUUUCGCAUGAUUGGGGGUAUUAUCUUUUUGAGCGGGGAUUCAAUAGCGUGGGUUUACUAACUUACGCUUUUAUAAUGUUGUAGUGAGAUGCCGAUCACUCGCUUCCAAUCUGCCGCAGCAGAUAAUGCGGCAAACUUGGAGGAGGUCGAGACCUCCGCUACCUCCGGAUCUGGCGAGGUCCAGGAGUUGAGGAGCCAGCUUGCGGCCCUCACCGACCUAGUAACUCAGCAGGCGGAGGCAGCUCGAUAGCAGACUGAGGCGGCGCGCCGGCAGGAGGCGCGGAUAAAGAGCCUGGAGGACCUUCUUCUGCAGUAGGCGAUAGCUUCCAGGGAGACCCAGGCCCCUACACUGCCAGAACCAGUUGUGGACGUCGCGCCGAGAACGCCGUCCCCCGCGCCUAGUUUGUCGCGUGUAGCGCCCGUGGCCGCGCCUCAGAAGGAGGCUUUGGCGGCGCCACCUGUUCAAACGCCCCCGAUUGGAGCUAUUUUCCCCAUGUUGGUCGAGGAAGCGGAGCGGGACCGACUGAUGGAGCGCCUCAACGAGUUCAGGAGGUGCGGUCUCCGGAUCUUCGACGGCGAGAAGGUCGACUACUGGAUCGUUGAAAAGUAGUUGAUGCAUAUGGAGAAGCUCUUCCGCGACACCUUCGUGGAGGAGAGAGAUCGAGUUUGGCUCGCCACACACCAUUUGGACGGCGAGGGCUACCGCUGGUGGUUGGAUCUCCAGGAGAACCCCAGCACUGAUUUGGCGGCUAUCUCGUGGAAAAAGUUCAAGGAGCUUCUGUUGGCGCACUACUUCCCGACCAGGGUCAAGAGGAAGAUGGAGCAAGACUUGCGCAACUUGCGCCAGGGAGACAGGACAGUAGCCGAGUACGAGCGGGAGUUUUCUCGGCUUCUACACUACGUGCCUUUCGUCGUGUGGGACGACGAGGACAAGGCCCGCAUCUUCGAGCGAGGGUUGCGACCGUCGAUCUUCCGGUUUGUGCAAUUCUCUAACCUCCAAACCUACCGAGAGGUGGUGGAUCGCGCGCUCAUCUUGAAGAGCGGCGCGGCUGAUGUCCAGGAGCGGCGAGAGGCUAUGGACAAGGGUAAGGCCAAGAGGCCUACGGCUGAGGGUGCGAGCCAGACGCACUCUAGGAGGCCGCCGAAGCACCCUAGGAGCCAGCAGUGUGGGCGCCGCUCGGCAGCGCCACGAGGAGGACCUGAUCGACGCCGACCCCCCCAGUGUGUGAUCUGCGGUGGUCCUCACAUUCCACCGCAGUGUCCGCGGCCGGAAGGCAGGUGCUUCCAGUGUGGCCAGGAGGGCCACUUCCGGACUGAGUGCCCGAGGGGUUCGUCACCGGCACCUGAAAGUUUUGGGGUAAUCCAAGGAUCUAUCUAGAUUGUAUCCAACACCUAGAGGGGGGGAAAUAGGUGUAACGGUCAAAAACCACAAAUCUCAAUGCAAUAAAAGUAAAUGAGGAAAAUAAAAAUCGCACCGAGAUUUACGUGGAAAACUCCAAUUAGGAGUAAAAAACCACGGGACCAACACGCGAUAACAAUCCACUAAGAAUAAAAGAUUACAAGGUGAUUUACCAAAUCCACGGACUCAAACCUCUCUUUUAUCUUCUCCGGAUCUCGCGCACACCAAUGGCUUGUCCACGCCCCACGUCCGAAUCCACGAAACGUCCCACUUAGAAUUGCCACGAAGCGCCUUGAUCAACGCGCGAAUCCACGACGCGGCCCACGGUCGAAUCCACAACGACACUCCGUCCGGAGCAAGAAUACCAAGAUUGACGAUGAUUAUUGCUUAGACAAUCAUUAAAGAACCAUAGAAGAUGUUUGCUAAGCAAUGCCUGAUCAAUUCUCCAUGAAGAACAAGAAAUUAGGGUUCAAGAAUUGAUUCUAAUAGAAACUUGUUGUUUAAGAGGAGAAAAGAUAUGCACCCAACAUUUCUAGGGUUUCAAAACAAUAUUCUAUAUCUUCAUUCUCUUUUAGAAACACCCCUAAAUCUUAUUUAUAGGUUUAGAAGACUUUGAAACAGACUAGGAUUGCAAAAACUCAUAUUUAAAAACUGACGUCAUUCUCAGGUCCGGUCCUCCCGAGGAGACCGGUCCUUGGAGAGGUCCUCCAAGUGAAAAUCGGUCCUUCGCUGCGUAGCUUGAGAAAACAUGCGUACGGGGACCGUUCUCAAGAUAAGGCCAAAGAGGCCUACGGCUGAGGUGGCGAGCCAGACGCACUCUAGGAGGCCGCCAAGCACCCUAGGAGCAAGCAGUGCUGGCGCGGCUCGGCACACCACGAGGACGCAUGAUCGACGCGACCCCCCAAUGUGUGAUCUGCGGUGGCCUCACAUUCCACGCAGUGUCCGCGCGGGAAGGCAGGUGCUUCCAAUGUGGCGAUGAGAGGGCCACUUCAGGACUGAGUGCCCGAGGGGUUCGUGCACGCAGCCUGAAAGUUUUGGGGUAACCAAGAAUCUAUCUAAUUGUAUCCAACACCUAGAGGGGGGGAAUAGGUGUAACGGUCAAAACCACAAUUCUCAAUGCAAUAAAAGUAAAAUGAGGAAAUAAAAAAUCACACCGAGAUUUACGUGGAAAAUCCAAUUAGGAGUAAAAAACCACGGACAACACGCGAUAACAAUCCACUAAGAAUAAAAAGAUUACAAGGUGGAUUUAACCAAUCCACGGACUCAAACUUCUCUUUUAUCUUCUCCGGAUCUCGCGCACAGCCAAUGGCUUGUCCAUCCGCCACGUCCGAAUCACGAACGCGGACGUCCCAGAAUCCAUGAAAGUCCACACUUCGAAUCCACGAAGCCUUAUCACGCCGAAUCCAACGCGCCCACUCGAAUCCACCAAGCACACUCCGUCUGGAGCAGGAAUACCAAGAUUGACGAUGAUUUAUUGCGUUAGACAAUCAUUAAAGAACCAUAGAAGAUUUGCUAAGCAAUACCGGAUCAAUUCUCCAUGAAGAGACAAGAAAUUAGGGUUUCAAGAAUUGAUCCAAUAGAAACUUGUUGUUUAAGAGGAGAAAGAAUGCACCCAACAAGUUCUAGGUUUCAAACAAUAUUCUAAUAUCUUCAUUCUCUUUUAAAAACACGCCUACAUCUUAUUUUAUAGGUUUUAGAAAGACUUUGAAACAGACUAGGAUUGCAAAAACCCAAUUUUAAAAAACUGACGUCGUUCUCAGGGUCCGGUCCUCCGAGAGACGGUCCUUGGGGACGCGGUCCUCCAAGUUGAAAGAUCCGUCCUCGCUGCGUAGCUGAGAAACAUCGUAGCGGGGACUCGGUUCUCAGUAAGCGGGAAGAGGCUACGCGAGGGUGCGGAGGCCAAGAGGGAGGCUGCUGAGGGGGAGCAGGGGCCGCCGAAGCACCCUGGGAGCCAGCAGUGUGGGCGCGGCUCGGCAGCACCACGAGAGACCUGAUCGACGCCGACCCCAAUGUGUGAUCUGGCGUGCGUGGUCCUCACAUUCCACCGCAGUGUCCGCGGCGGAAGGACGAGGUGCUUCCAAUUGUGCCAGGAGGGCCACUUCCGGCUGAAGUGGGCCAGAGGUUCGUCACCGCGCACUGAAAGUUUUGGGGUAACCCAAGGAUUAUCUAAAUUGUAUCCAACACCAAGAGGGGGGGAAAUAGGGUAAGACGGUGCAAAAACCACAAGUCUCAAUGCAAUAAAAGUAAAUGAGGAAAAUAAAAAAUCAAGCCGAGAUUUACGUGAAAAACUCAAUUAGGAGUAAAAAACGCACGGACCACACGCGAUAACAAUCCACUAAGAAUAAAAGAUUACAAGGGUGAUUUACCAAAUCCACGGACUUCAAACCUCUCUUUUAUCUUCUCGGAUCUCGCGCACACCAAUGGCUUGUCCACGCCCCACGUCCGAAUCCACGAACGCACGUCCUGAAUCAAACGAAACGUCCAACAUUCGGAAUCCACGAAGCCUUGAUCACGCCGAAUCCAUGACGCCCACUCGAAUCCACAAACACACUCCGUCCGGAGCAAGAAAUACCCAAGAUUGACGAUGAUUUAUUGCUUAGACAAUCAUUAAAAGAACUAUAGAAGAUGUUGCUAAGGCAAUAGCCGGAUCAAUUCUCCAUGAAGAACAAGAAAUUAGGGUUUCAAGAAUUGAAUCCAAUAGAAACUUGUUGUUAAGAGGAGAAAGAAUGCACGCCAACAAGUUUCUAAGUUUCAAAACAAUAUUACUAUCUUCAAUUCUCUUUUAGAAACACCCCUACAUCUUAUUUAUAGGUUUAGAAGACUUUGAAACAGACUAGGAUUGCAAAAAUCAAUUUUAAAAACUGACGUCGUUCUCAGGUCCGGUCCUCCGAGAGACCGUCCUUGGGACCGGUCUUCCAAGUGAAACCGGUCCUCUCGCUGCGUAGCUGAGAAACAUGCGUACGGGGACCGUGUUCUCAAUUCAGAGACCGGUCCCUCUUGCGCAACAAGAUAAACCACUUACGGGAACCGGUCCUCAGACCAGAGACCGGUCUCCCAAAAACUUCUAUGCAGAGAAGCUUGAUGGGCCCGGUCCUUCUGAUCAAGGACCGGUCCCUGAGCCCUGAGAUUUUUAGAAAAGUCCAGUUUGAUCAACAAAACACAAUCUAAGCCUUCUAAACACUUUUAAACAUUUAUAAAUCAUCAUCAAUGGUAUUUAAACUACGAGCAUUGUGCAUUCAUGUUUUGAGUCUUCGAGUCUUCGAUCUUGUAAUACACUGAAUUUUUGCAAAUUGCGAAAUUCGAGUGUGAGGAAUGAUAUAUGGAACUAUUCUACAUGUUCUAAAAGUUAGAACAAGUUUUUGGAUAAGUUAGAGGAUGAUUGGAAUGCUAAAAGUGAGAAAGUGCUUUGAACUGGUGAAAAUCAGCAUUUUCUGCUUGUUGUACUGGUACAGCCUUACCUUGUACCGGUACAAGCUGGCAGAUUCGUGGCAGCAAGGCUAGUUUGGUAAUUUCACACUUGAUCCCUACCUAUUUGAUCCCAGGCACGACUCUGGGAGCUCAGUAAAGUGUGCUGGAGCUCAGGAGUGUUUUUCUUCCGCCUUCUUCUCUCUCUCUCUCUAGGUUUUCUCUCUCUACAAAAUUCGCCGAUUUCGCUCGUUUUCGUCGCAACGUUGUUUCCGCUGUUUGCGCGUCUUCCUGAGCCCUUGUGGACGUGUGAGGGAGUGUUUUGGACGGGUUUCGCAGCCCUGGAUCAGCAGGUCACUGGUUGGAAGCUUGAGAAGGUAAUCGACUCACUUUUGCUGUUAUCGACGUUCUAUUCGUCGAUUUGAGUAGCAAUUUCGGUUUUUGCUUCUUUGCUGUGUUAGGCUGAGGUUUCAGCAAUUAAAUAUGAGUUAUUUAGCUGUGAAUGAACCUCCUUAGACCAGGGAUAAGCUACUUUCAAGCUUAUUAGAAAUGUUUGCUAUUUAUGAAGCUAUUUCGGACUUUACGCGAGUUAUCCGAUCAAAUGAUGCAGUUUGGAAAUUGCUUCUUUCGCAGCAGGUCUUCGAGCUUCGUUGAGCUGAACGUGUACCUUUUGAGCUGUUAGAAGGUGUUCUAACCUAAGGUAAGCAAGAAUUUCAGUUAGGAAGCUGAAAUUGCAAGAUUCCGAUUAAAGUUGCUAUUUAUAUGAAAUUUGAUGCCAUUUCAAUUUGUUCGGCAGCGAGAGUGCGAUCGAGCCUGGAUCAUCAUUAGUUUUGACUGUGAAGAGCUCUUGGAGACUUAUCUUGAGGUAUUACACGAGUCCAAAACAGGGAAUUAAACUUCUACUUGCUUUAAGUGCAAAUGGAACCGAAAUUGGACAUUUCGGUUAUAGUAUUGACUCACUUCUGUACCUUAUUUCCAACACAUUGGGCUUCGUUGAGCCGAUUUUGGAUUUCUUUUGGAGCUUAGUACGAGGUGGGUUUGAGACCUAACCAGAGCAAGUGAAGCUCCCCUAUGUUCUAUAUGUAUGGAAUUUGAGAUAGUUGCGGCGACAUUGGCACAAUAUGGUUGUUGGAACUUCUUUGCACAAACAUUGAAUAGAACCUCUAUGAAGUAGAGAGAAUUCAUGCAUAAUUGUACUUAGGUUUUAUUUUAGUUUAAGUUGAAUAACUAAUGGACUUGAUAAUUAUGCUGUUGUAAAGUAGAGAACAAUGAUAUUCUCGUGACUUUAUCGAUUAAUAAGUAUGAGAACAAUGACAUGCCAUAUGACUAUGUUGAUAGUGCCAUGAUAGUAGAAAGACUCUAAUGCCAUAUAUGAACUAGCAUUACUCUUACAUGUUUGUUAUCUAGUGGAUACUAGUCGUUAUCAAUAUUGGCUAUAUGAAAUCCCGAUCAAAGGAUCGAGAGCAAGAAUAUUGUGAGUAAUUGUAAUAGCCGAGACAUGUUGGACUUUGCUUGCUUGCCAUCGUGCUCAUUCGCAAUGCUUGUGAGGGUCGCUCCCUGCAAGCCGGCACUCCGGAGUUGCCCUACGCGACAGUUGCUCGCCCGUGCGGGAUUGGGUGCCGAAUGUGGAUUGCCGUGGGGAGUGUAUACUACCACGGGGCCAUUAGGCGCAGCGCAAACUUGGACUACCUUUGGUAGUUCCUGUGAAUAAUAGGACAGUAAUGAAUGCUUAUUAAUUGAAGUGUACAGUAGUCACUUACAUGUUCGUGCUUAUAUUCAUAUCUAUAUUCAUGAUUAUAGAGAUUGCCAUAUCCCUAUUAUGCAAAUGAUUCAUUACUGUAGAAAGCUAUUACAUGUUAUUACAUGUUGUUUACAUGCAUAUUAAUUGCUUAGCAAUGGAAAGGUAUGCUCACUAUCUGUUAGCAUUGCAUACUUAUAUAUCAUGCAGUUACUGCUCUUCUUUAUUUCAGUACAUCAUGAGCCUAGUGGUGUAAUUCGCCGAGGCUGGCGGCUUACCCACUGGGAACUAUUGUUUAUAGUUCUCACGCCCUUUUGGUGGUUGUUUUUAUAGAGCCAUCCGCAGGAGAGGCUAGGGAUCGUGGCAAGGGAGUCGCGUCUAGCUAGACUUUGCUAGGAGCAUGCUAGUCGAUCACCUUGCUACUCGGGCUACGGCCGAGGGUGAUGUCCCUUUGUAUAGAGAAACCACCAUUGUACCUAUUUUUGUAUACCCGUGAUGUAUAUUUACUGUUGUGAUACUUGCUCUUUAGUCGAGAUUUUGAGUUGGUACACUCUUUGUUCUUUUGUUGAUGUAUAUCGACUUGUACAUUGCUCUGAUAUCGGGAUAGGACUCUCUUUGUUUUACUUCCUAUCGAUUUGCUUUCUUCGUAGACGCCUUAUAUACUGCAGGUGUAUGGCGGGUCUGUGCACGUGCCGGAUAUGCUUCCGCUGGUACCCGGGCGUGACAGAUCUUCAUCUCUUCUUCUUCAAACUUUCAAGACUCCGACUAACUUCACGAAAUAUGCCAACAUAAAAUCCGUAACAGCACCGUCACCGGCUCUACCAGCCGCUAGCCACGGGACUCCGUCAACACAGUACCAGCCUGGGCGGCCACCCAUCCAGUGCCAGAGCAAGGGUUCUCGACAGGCCCUGAGUAGGCGUAUGUAUGCCGCUCAGACCGAGGAGGCAGCAGCAGCCGAGGAUGUGGUUGCAGGUAUCAUUUUACUUGAUGGCAUUAGAGUUCGUGCUUUAUUUGAUACCAGUGCAUCGCAUUCAUUUAUAGAUCGGCUGUUUGCCGAGUUGCAUGGCAUCCCUUUGGUUUCUUUGUUGCAUCCGGGACAUGUUGUAGUACCCGACCACACUCUGGAUAUUAGAGAGUGUUGCCCUAGUUGCCCUGUUCGGGUAGGAGAUUGGAUCAUGCCCGUGGAUUUGUUAGCUCUGCGCAAGCUAGGGGACUUCGAUGUGGUCUUAGGCAUGGAUUGGUUAACCAAAUAUUAUGCCACGAUAGAUUGCAAGAAUCGCACGGUUAUUUUUAGAGAACCGGGACAGGCUGAGAUUGUGUUUAGAGGAUGCCGGAGUUCGCUUUUUGCGAUGUCGAUCAGCUCGUCUCGAGCUAGGCAGCUGAUCAGCCGAGGAUGUGUAGCCUACUUGGCUAGUGUUGUGUUGAGGGCCGAGGAUGACACCCCCAGGAUUGAGGAUAUUUCGGUGGUACGGGAGUUUCAAGACGUGUUCCCAGUGAGCUACUGGGUAUGCCACCCGAUAGGGAGAUCGAGUUUGUGGUAGAUCUCGUUCCUGGGACUACUCCAAUCUCGAAGGCACCCUAUAGGAUGGCACCGGUGGAGCUAAGGGAGCUGAGGGCACAGCUACAGGAUCUGUUGGACAAGGGCUUCA